rnacentral:rRNA from 1 species
UUAUCGGCCGCGGUACCCUGACCGUGCGAAGGUAGCAUAAUAACUUGUCCCUUUUUAGGGACUAGCAUCAACGGCAUCUUCAAGGCUGAACUGUCUCUUUUCUCUUAUCAUCAGAAACUGAUCUCCCCGUGAAAAAGCGGGAAUUAUUUUAUUAUACGAGAAGACCCCCUGGAGCUUUAGGUAAUGUAUUCACCUAAAUUUGCUAUACCAACUAAAUAUAACAGCCUGAUUAUUAACCUUAGGUUGGGAGGACCGCGGAGUACAACUAAACCUCCACCACAAAAAGGCGGCACCUUUAUCCUCGAGCUAAACCUCUUAUAAUUAAAAUAUUAAUGUCCCAUGACCCGACCAUUCUAUCUUCAAACCAGGUUACCCUGGGGAUAACAACACAAUCUGCUUAAAGAGCUCAAAUCCCCAUGCACGUUUAUGACCUCGAUGUCGGAUCAGGGUAUCCCAAUGGUGCAGCCGCUACUAUAGGUUUGUUUGUUCAACAAUUACAACCCUACGUGAUC